UCAGGAUGAACGCUGGCGGCGUGCCUAACACAUGCAAGUCGAACGAAGCACUUUCGAUCGGAGAUUCGUCGAAGAUUGGAUUUGACUUAGUGGCGGACGGGUGAGUAAUGUAUGAGCAACCUGCCUUCAGAGGGGGACAACAGUUGGAAACGACUGCUAAUACCGCAUAAUGUAUUGAGACGGCAUCGUCAUGAUACCAAAGGAGCAAUUCGCUGAAAGAUGGGCUCAUAUCUGAUUAGUUAGUUGGCAGGGUAACGGCCUACCAAGACUGCGAUCAGUAGCCGGACUGAGAGGUUGAACGGCCACAUUGGGACUGAGAUACGGCCCAGACUCCUACGGGAGGCAGCAGGUGGGGAAUAUUGGGCAAUGGGCGAAAGCCUCGACCCAGCAACGCCGCGUGAAGGAAGAAGGUCUUCGGAUUGUAAACUUCUUUAUGAGGGACGAAGGACGUGACGGUACCUCAUGAAUAAGCCACGGCUAACUACGUGCCAGCAGCCGC
rnacentral:rRNA from 1 species